rnacentral:rRNA from 1 species
CAAAGGGAUUACCGGUGGCGGAUGGGCAUGCGGCGCAUUAGCUAGUCGGCGGGGUAACGGCCCACCGAGGCGACGAUGCGUAGGGGUUCUGAGAGGAAGGUCCCCCACACUGGUACUGAGACACGGACCAGACUCCUACGGGAGGCAGCAGUGAGGAAUAUUGGUCAAUGGGCGCGAGCCUGAACCAGCCAAGUCGCGUGAGGGAUGACGGUCCUACGGAUUGUAAACCUCUUUUGCCGGGGAGCAAGCGUGCGUUCGUGAACGCGCGUCGAGAGUACCCGGAGAAAAAGCAUCGGCUAACUCCGUGCCAGCAGCCGCGGUAAUACGGAGGAUGCGAGCGUUAUCCGGAUUUAUUGGGUUUAAAGGGUGCGUAGGCGGGAUGCCAAGUCAGCGGUAAAAAUGCGGUGCUCAACGCCGUCGAGCCGUUGAAACUGGCGUUCUUGAGUGGGCGAGAAGUAUGCGGAAUGCGUGGUGUAGCGGUGAAAUGCAUAGAUAUCACGCAGAACUCCGAUUGCGAAGGCAGCAUACCGGCGCCCUACUGACGCUGAGGCACGAAAGCGUGGGUAUCGAACAGGAUUAGAUACCCUGGUAGUCCACGCAGUAAACGAUGAAUGCUAACUGUCCGGUGCGAGUGAGCGCUGGGCGGU